rnacentral:rRNA from 1 species
CGGCAUUAUGUGCUUGCACAUUUUGGACGUCGACCGGCGCACGGGUGAGUAUCGCGUAUCCAACCUGCCCUUUACUUGGGGAUACCCCGUUGAAAGACGGCCUAAUACCCGAUGUAAUUCAUUGAUGGCAUCAGAUAUAAAUAAAAGAUUUAUCGGUAAAGGAUGGGGAUGCGUCUGAUUAGCUUGUUGGUGAGGUAAAGGCUCACCAAGGCGACGAUCAGUAGGGGUUCUGAGAGGAAGGUCCCCCACAUUGGAACUGAGACACGGUCCAAACUCCUACGGGAGGCAGCAGUGAGGAAUAUUGGUCAAUGGGCGCAAGCCUGAACCAGCCAAGUAGCGUGCAGGAAGACGGCCCUAUGGGUUGUAAACUGCUUUUAUACGAGAAUAAUUUGAUGCACGUGUGCGUUAUUGCAUGUAUCGUAUGAAUAAGGACCGGCUAAUUCCGUGCCAGCAGCCGCGGUAAUACGGAAGGUUCAGGCGUUAUCCGGAUUUAUUGGGUUUAAAGGUAGUGUAGGCGGUUUGUUAAGCGUGUUGUGAAAUUUAGGUGCUCAACAUUUAACUUGCAGCGCGAACUGGCGAACUUGAGUGCACACAACGUAUGCGGAAUUCAUGGUGUAGCGGUGAAAUGCUUAGAUAUCAUGAAGAACUCCGAUUGCGAAGGCAGCAUACGGGAGUGUAACUGACGCUUAAGCUCGAAGGUGCGGGUAUCGAACAGGAUUAGAUACCCUGGUAGUCCGCACAGUAAACGAUGGAUGCCCGCUGUUAGCGCCUGGCGUUAGCGGCUAAGCGAAAGCAUUAAGCAUC